rnacentral:rRNA from 1 species
AUUGAACGCUGGCGGCAUGCCUAACACAUGCAAGUCGAACGGCAGCACGGGAACUUGCACCUGGUGGCGUGUGCCGAACGGGUGAGUAUUACAUCGGAAUAAGUCCCGUAGUGGGGGAUAGCAAGGCCAAAGACGGAGUACUAAUGCAUACGAACAUCGGAUAACAGCGGGGGCACUUCGGACCUCGCGCUUUAGGGUUGGCCCUAGGCGGAUUAGCUAGUUGGUGGGGUAAAGGUCAACCAAGGCGACGAUCAGUAGCCGGUCUGAGAGGGUGACCAGCCACACUGGAACUGAGACACGGUCCAGACUCCUACGGGAGGCAGCAGUGGGGAAUUUUGGACAAUGGGCGAAAGCCUGAUCCAGCAAUGCCGCGUGUGUGAAGAAGGCCUUCGGGUUGUAAAGCACUGUUGUCCGGAAAGAAAAUCUUUGCCCUAAUACGGGCGGGGGAUGACGGUACCGGAAGAAUAAGCACCGGCUAACUACGUG